GACGAACGCUGGCGGCGUGCUUAACACAUGCAAGUCGAACGGAAAGGCCCUGCUUUUGUGGGGUGCUCGAGUGGCGAACGGGUGAGUAACACGUGAGUAACCUGCCCUUGACUUUGGGAUAACUUCAGGAAACUGGGGCUAAUACCGGAUAGGAGCUCCUGCUGCAUGGUGGGGGUUGGAAAGUUUCGGCGGUUGGGGAUGGACUCGCGGCUUAUCAGCUUGUUGGUGGGGUAGUGGCUUACCAAGGCUUUGACGGGUAGCCGGCCUGAGAGGGUGACCGGCGACAGGGGGAGUGAGGUACGGGCGGGAAGGCAGCGGGAGGGAGCAGUGGGGAAUAUGGGAGAAUGGGCGGAAGCCUGAUGCAGCAACGCCGCGGGCGGGAUGACGGCGUGCGGGGUGUAAACCGCGUUCGACUGGGAAGAAGCGUGAGGGCAGGUGAUGGGUACAGAAGAAACGGCGAAAUACGGG
rnacentral:rRNA from 1 species